UGGGGGAUAUUGCACAAUGGGCGAAAGCCUGAUGCAGCGACGCCGCGUGGGGGAUGAAGGCUUUCGGGUUGUAAACCUCUUUCGCUAUCGAACAAGGCCCGCUUAGGGUGGGUUGAGGGUAGGUGGAGAAGAAGCGCCGGCUAACUACGUGCCAGCAGCCGCGGUAAUACGUAGGGCGCGAGCGUUGUCCGGAAUUAUUGGGCGUAAAGGGCUUGUAGGCGGCUUGUUGCGCUUGCUGUGAAAACGCGGGGCUUAACUUCGCGCGUGCAGUGGGUACGGGCAGGCUUGAGUGUGGUAGGGGUGACUGGAAUUCCAGGUGUAGCGGUGGAAUGCGCAGAUAUCUGGAGGAACACCGAUGGCGAAGGCAGGUCACUGGGCCAUUACUGACGCUGAGGAGCGAAAGCAUGGGUAGCGAACAGG
rnacentral:rRNA from 1 species